rnacentral:rRNA from 1 species
GAUGAACGCUGGCGGCGUGCCUAAUACAUGCAAGUCGAGCGAACGGACGAGAAGCUUGCUUCUCUGAUGUUAGCGGCGGACGGGUGAGUAACACGUGGAUAACCUACCUAUAAGACUGGGAUAACUUCGGGAAACCGGAGCUAAUACCGGAUAAUAUUUUGAACCGCAUGGUUCAAAAGUGAAAGACGGUCUUGCUGUCACUUAUAGAUGGAUCCGCGCUGCAUUAGCUAGUUGGUAAGGUAACGGCUUACCAAGGCAACGAUGCAUAGCCGACCUGAGAGGGUGAUCGGCCACACUGGAACUGAGACACGGUCCAGACUCCUACGGGAGGCAGCAGUAGGGAAUCUUCCGCAAUGGGCGAAAGCCUGACGGAGCAACGCCGCGUGAGUGAUGAAGGUCUUCGGAUCGUAAAACUCUGUUAUUAGGGAAGAACAUAUGUGUAAGUAACUGUGCACAUCUUGACGGUACCUAAUCAGAAAGCCACGGCUAACUACGUGCCAGCAGCCGCGGUAAUACGUAGGUGGCAAGCGUUAUCCGGAAUUAUUGGGCGUAAAGCGCGCGUAGGCGGUUUUUUAAGUCUGAUGUGAAAGCCCACGGCUCAACCGUGGAGGGUCAUUGGAAACUGGAAAACUUGAGUGCAGAAGAGGAAAGUGGAAUUCCAUGUGUAGCGGUGAAAUGCGCAGAGAUAUGGAGGAACACCAGUGGCGAAGGCGACUUUCUGGUCUGUAACUGACGCUGAUGUGCGAAAGCGUGGGGAUCAAACAGGAUUAGAUACCCUGGUAGUCCACGCCGUAAACGAUGGGUGCUAAGUGUUAGGGGGUUUCCGCCCCUUAGUGCUGCAGCUAACGCAUUAAGCACUCCGCCUGGGGAGUACGACCGCAAGGUUGAAACUCAAAGGAAUUGACGGGGACCCGCACAAGCGGUGGAGCAUGUGGUUUAAUUCGAAGCAACGCGAAGAACCUUACCAAAUCUUGACAUCCUUUGACAACUCUAGAGAUAGAGCCUUCCCCUUCGGGGGGGCAAAGUGACAGGUGGUGCAUGGUUGUCGUCAGCUCGUGUCGUGAGAUGUUGGGUUAAGUCCCGCAACGAGCGCAACCCUUAAGCUUAGUUGCCAUCAUUAAGUUGGGCACUCUAAGUUGACUGCCGGUGACAAACCGGAGGAAGGUGGGGAUGACGUCAAAUCAUCAUGCCCCUUAUGAUUUGGGCUACACACGUGCUACAAUGGACAAUACAAAGGGCAGCGAAACCGCGAGGUCAAGCAAAUCCCAUAAAGUUGUUCUCAGUUCGGAUUGUAGUCUGCAACUCGACUACAUGAAGCUGGAAUCGCUAGUAAUCGUAGAUCAGCAUGCUACGGUGAAUACGUUCCCGGGUCU